UAAUUGAAGAGUUUGAUCAUGGCUCAGAUUGAACGCUGGCGGCAGGCCUAACACAUGCAAGUCGAGCGGCAGCGACAUAAACAAUCCUUCGGGUGCGCUUAUGGGCGGCGAGCGGCGGACGGGUGAGUAAUGCCUGGGAAACUGCCCUAGUGUGGGGGAUAACCAUUGGAAACGAUGGCUAAUACCGCAUAAUCUCCUUUCUUUAAGUAGAGGGGAGCAAAGCGGGGGAUCUUCGGACCUCGCGCGCUAGGAUGUGCCCAGGUGAGAUUAGCUAGUUGGUGAGGUAAGAGCUCACCAAGGCGACGAUCUCUAGCUGGUCUGAGAGGAUGAUCAGCCACACUGGAACUGAGACACGGUCCAGACUCCUACGGGAGGCAGCAGUGGGGAAUAUUGCACAAUGGGGGAAACCCUGAUGCAGCCAUGCCGCGUGUGUGAAGAAGGCCUUCGGGUUGUAAAGCACUUUCAGUCGUGAGGAAGGCAUAUGCGUUAAUAGCGCAUGUGUUUGACGUUAGCGACAGAAGAAGCACCGGCUAACUCCGUGCCAGCAGCCGCGGUAAUACGGAGGGUGCGAGCGUUAAUCGGAAUUACUGGGCGUAAAGCGCAUGCAGGCGGCUUGUUAAGCCAGAUGUGAAAGCCCGGGGGCUCAACCUCGGAAUAGCAUUUGGAACUGGCAGGCUAGAGUCUUGUAGAGGGGGGUAGAAUUUCAGGUGUAGCGGUGAAAUGCGUAGAGAUCUGAAGGAAUACCGGUGGCGAAGGCGGCCCCCUGGACAAAGACUGACGCUCAGAUGCGAAAGCGUGGGGAGCAAACAGGAUUAGAUACCCUGGUAGUCCACGCCGUAAACGAUGUCUACUUGGAGGUUGGUGUCUUGAACACUGGCUUUCGGAGCUAACGCGUUAAGUAGACCGCCUGGGGAGUACGGUCGCAAGAUUAAAACUCAAAUGAAUUGACGGGGGCCCGCACAAGCGGUGGAGCAUGUGGUUUAAUUCGAUGCAACGCGAAGAACCUUACCUACUCUUGACAUCCAGCGAAUCCUUUAGAGAUAGAGGAGUGCCUUCGGGAACGCUGAGACAGGUGCUGCAUGGCUGUCGUCAGCUCGUGUUGUGAAAUGUUGGGUUAAGUCCCGCAACGAGCGCAACCCUUAUCCUUGUUUGCCAGCACUCGGGUGGGAACUCCAGGGAGACUGCCGGUGAUAAACCGGAGGAAGGUGGGGACGACGUCAAGUCAUCAUGGCCCUUACGAGUAGGGCUACACACGUGCUACAAUGGCGUAUACAGAGGGCUGCCAACCAGCGAUGGUGAGCGAAUCCCAGAAAGUACGUCGUAGUCCGGAUUGGAGUCUGCAACUCGACUCCAUGAAGUCGGAAUCGCUAGUAAUCGUGGAUCAGAAUGCCACGGUGAAUACGUUCCCGGGCCUUGUACACACCGCCCGUCACACCGAUGGGAGUGGGCUGCACCAGAAGUAGAUAGCUUAACCUUCGGGAGGGCGUUUACCACGGUGUGGUUCAUGACUGGGGUGAAGUCGUAACAAGGUAGCCCUAGGGGAACCUGGGGCUGGAUCACCUCCUUA
rfam:Photobacterium gaetbulicola Gung47 chromosome 2, complete sequence.